rnacentral:rRNA from 1 species
GAUUUCUGGUUUAAUGUACCUGUCCCGCUGCGGUAACGCAUGUGAGUGACGGAGUAUGUUUGCCUUCCUUCUAGAGAACAUUAGCUAUCCUUUACUGGACCGGUUAAUGUCAUCUAGAUCUUUUACUUUGAAAAAAUUAGAGUGUUUCAAGCAGGCGUUUUGCUAUGAAUACAUUAGCAUGGAAUAAUGAGUUAGGACUUCGGUUCUAUUUUGUUGGUUUCUAGGACUGAAGUAAUGAUUGAUAGGGACAGUUGGGGGUGCUAGUAUUCCGCGGCCAGAGGUGAAAUUCUUGGAUUCGCGGAAGACUAACUACUGCGAAAGCAUU